GAUGAACGCUGACAGCAUGCUUAACACAUGCAGGUCAACUUGAACUUCGGUUUGGGUGGCGGACGGGUGAGUAACGCGUAAAGAACUUGCCUCACAGUUAGGGACAACAUUUGCAAACGAAUGCUAAUACCUGAUAUUAUGAUUUUAGGGCAUCAUAGAAUUAUGAAAGCUAUAUGCGCUGUGAGAGAGCUUUGCGUCCCAUUAGCUAGUUGGUGAGGUAACGGCUCACCAAGGCGAUGAUGGGUAGCCGGCCUGAGGGGGUGAACGGCCACAAGGGGACUGCGACACGGCUCUUACUCUUACGGGAGGCAGCAGUGGGGAAUCUUGGUCUAUGGACCAAGAGUCUGAUCCAGCGAUUCUGUGUGCACGAUGAAGUUUUUCGGAAUGUAAAGUUCUUUCAUUUGGGAAGAAUAAAAUGACGGUACCAACAGAAGAAGUGACGGCUAAUUACGUU
rnacentral:rRNA from 1 species